rnacentral:rRNA from 1 species
GAACUUAAAGGAAUUGACGGGGCCCGCACAAGCGGUGGAGCAUGUGGUUUAAUUCGAUGAUACGCGAGGAACCUUACCUGGGCUCAAAUGUAUGUUGACGUAUUCUGAAAGGGAUACUUCUUCGGACAAUAUACAAGGUGCUGCAUGGUUGUCGUCAGCUCGUGCCGUGAGGUGUCGGGUUAAGUCCCAUAACGAGCGCAACCCCUAUCAUUAGUUGCCAUCAGGUCAAGCUGGGGACUCUAAUGAAACUGCCUACGCAAGUAGUGAGGAAGGUGGGGAUGACGUCAAAUCAGCACGGCCCUUACGUCCAGGGCUACACACGUGCUACAAUGGCCGGUACAAAGGGUUGCCAAGCCGCGAGGUGGAGCUAAUCCCAUAAAACCGAUCGUAGUCCGGAUCGCAGUCUGCAACUCGACUGCGUGAAGUCGGAAUCGCUAGUAAUCGUGAAUCAGCCAUGGCGCGGUGAAUACGUUCCCGGGCCUU